rnacentral:lncRNA from 10 species
CUCUCCCACCCUCUUUCUCUGUCUCCCUCCCUCUCUCUCUCUCCCUUCCUUUCUCUCUCUCCCUCUCUCAUUCUCCCUCCCUCUCUCUCUCUCCCUCUAUCUCUUCCCCUCUCCCUCCCUCUCUCCCUCUCUUUCUCUCUCUCUCUCACUCCCUCUCUCCCUUCCUUCUCCUCUCCCUCCUUCCCACCUUUCCUCCCUCUCUCUCAGCUGCUGUGGUUUGGAGGAGCCUGGACCCUUCCACCUCCCUGCGGGCAUGUCCUCAGGGCUAGCCAAUCAGAGCGUCCAUCCUUCUGGCCAUGUGACUGGCCCAGAGAUGGUCCAGUACAGGCGACAGCACCACCUGAGAUGGGAUGAGGCAUGCGGACUUUAGUCUCCCAGGACCUGGAGGAUGGGGAGGAAGGCCCAAGAAACUCCUGUAGCCACUGCACCUCCAGCUCUAACUCAGCCUGAGCCUGGCACAAGGAGCAGCUGUUGGAGCAAAGCAGCCAUCACCAGUCCUCCGGGGAAGCUUCCGUGUAGCUUCCAGCUUCCAGCAUUGGAGAGCUCACCACCUUGCAAGCCGCCCUUCCCCAGCUCCAGCGUAUGCUGAAUCCAGUCUGGAGCCCUCAGAGCAAGCCCAG